rnacentral:rRNA from 1 species
UACGGAGGGUGCGAGCGUUGUCCGGAUUCACUGGGCGUAAAGGGCGCGUAGGCGGUUAUAUCAGUCGGUCGUGUAAGGUCGGGGCUUACCCUCGUUGAGCGACCGGGACGGUAUGACUAGAGCGUGGUAGAGGGAUGUGGAAUGCCGGGUGUAGUGGUGAAAUGCGUAGAUAUCCGGCGGAACACCGGUGGCGAAGGCGGCAUCCUGGGCCAUAGCUGACGCUGAGGCGCGAGAGCGUGGGGAGCGAACCGG